GACUGGAUCAACUGGCCAAGAUGUGGGCACUCGGAGCUGCAGCAUGACACACAGGAACAGGAAGUGAGGGGCAUCACAGUAUGAGGUCUGAGUCAAGUACAGAACAGGGAGUGGCUGAUGUGGCAUCAUUGGUGAAAGGGAGAUAAUCUGGAUGGAAUGGUUGACAGUCAAAAGGGCUGAUACAGCUGUCUUUAUUCAAAGGAGAUAUUUGACUCUCACCAAACAUAAACUGAAGGACGAAAUUCUGGAAGCAAAGACAAAAUAAAACAUCUUCUAAAGGGCAGGGGAGGCAACUGCUUGGUUUGGAAGCAGUUGAUCAGUCAAGUCAAUCCCUUGACCAGCACCUGUCAUUGGGGAAGCACCAAGGACAGACAUGGCAGUUGACAGGAC